GUGUGGGGCUGCGACCGCGGGGCGUGAGGCCUUGGUGAGGACUCCUUCCAUUGCACUUCGCUCCUAAGAAGAAUUCUGAAGAAGCAUUCCUGCUGCCUCAGGUGCUGCAUUCUCGUGUGAUUCUGAUCUCAAAAAUAUGACAGGAAGUGUAAUGGGACUUGUUCAAUCUCAGUUUAAGUCUGAGAGAAUGAAAUGAACAGCUGCAGUUAGCUUCUUUCCUGAAGGACAGCAAAGCACCCCACAGACACCUAAGCUGUAAGUGGAGUUGCUUCUCACAGAGAUUUGGACACUGAUGUGUCUGAAAUAUGUCUUGCUUCCACUCCUGCCCACAAGGGAAGGAAAUGCAACUUUGCGAGCAGCAGAAGUAGCAGAGCCUGGUUUCCUCGAUGCUUCCAUGGAGGCUCCCAGCUGGUUUCCUGCCUCAGCAUGCUGACAACCGACAAGAGGAGAAUUCCUGCUGCAGCCAUUCUCUCUGCAGAGGCACUGGCAAUCCUUGCUGCUUGGCUGCUUGUUUUCCAGUAAUUUCAUAAAAGCAGAGCAUCUGUGGGAUCUUUACGUCUCCGAGGUUCAGUCGAGACUGGCUGUUGGAUUCAAAGGUCUUGAAGAAUCCAAGAGAAAUGAGACAUAAGCAUCAUUUAAAAAUUCUGAAACCAAAAUGAGAACUUUAGCAUGCUAGAUGACUAAUUCUUCCCUGAGCAGAGACGUGUAAGAAAAAACUGUCACACUGUAGUCCAACUUGGAUUUAUGGGUGUGAUAUUCUGCUGAUCUUUUUUAGAGGUCUUCAUUUCCCUCUGUCUGUAUUGUAAAACAUGGAUAAGAGGUUUAGGUACAUAACUGGGAUGGUUAAAUUCUUCCAAAUCUUGCAUAACUGCAAAAUAUCAAAAGAUCAGAUCAAGAAUUUGUCAUAGAAAUUGCCUGGCUGGAACUCGGACUCAUUUUUAUGUCAGUUGUUUUUUGUAGCGAAGGAUCAGGGAGGAUUCCAGGGGAAGACAGACCUGAAUAAGCAACUCUUUAAGACACAAAUUUAAUUAAAAAAAAAAAAGUAAGAUUAAUGAAACAAGGAAGAGGGUGAAGAUGUAAAAAGAAGGUCAUCACUGAGGAGUGCAAUCCACAGCUCAUUGUCUGUGUGGAAGGAUAGCAGUGACGUACAAAGCGGAAUCGUAAAAGGGGUGGGUGAAAGAGAAAAGUUUGCUGGGCAAGUAAACCAUAAAAGGUCUUUUUUAAUGGAGCAUGCUUACUUUAAUGUAAAUCUGCAGCAGAUCUACUUGCUUCCUGACGUUCCAGAGUUUCACUGACGAUGAAGUUUCUGAGACACACAAAGUUGCAAACAAAUAUGGCCUGAAAAUGGCAACAGAGAAAUUGGUUGGGGUGUAUUUACUCCCAGGAAAGGUAGCAUAGAGCCAGGAGUGCCAGGAGAAAAGCGCAGUGAAGUGUAUUUCUUGAAAAUACAAGGGAGAACAGUUUCAACGCCUCAUGUAAGUGUGUUUCUCUGAAGUCCAAAGAAGAGCUGCUUUCAGAUUCCAAAGCUAAAGCUUGCCUUCGCUGAAAAGCUUGACAUCAGGAGUGAUGGCUACACAGCAAUAAGCCAUGCCGAGGGCAGUUCGGAGAUUUUUAAGAGGACACCUGUGCCACCCCAGCCUGCUCCAGCACUCAGGAUGGCCCCAAUGCCUGCAGGGAAAUUCAUCUGUGCUCACUGUUCAAAGCAAGCCCUCCUAUGCUAAAUCCUCUUUGAUCCUCCAGGACAAUGAAGCGACCCUGAGCUGUAAUCAAGCUUGCUUCAGGGCUGGUUUUAGACCCCACAAGAUGUCCAGAAGUGGACACAAUCCACAGGGCCUUUAAGCCCCUUUUCAGAGUGCUCCAGAAAUAUGAACUCUGUGCUCAGCAAUGUCUGAUCGGUAUAAGCCACUCUCAUCUUCUGUCACAUGAGGGCAAGUCACACUUCCUCUGCCUCUUCCUUCCCAGAGUUCCUGUGGACACCAGUGGAAUGGGGAAGCAUUGGUGCUUGGAGCUGGGAGCCCUUCUCCCCAGGCAGUCUCCAACUUCUGCCUUCCAAGCUGCCACUGAGGGGUGAUCUUUUAAACUGCUGACUUAGAAUAGAAAAAGGAGAAAAGAAAGAAGAAAAAGGAAAACAAGAAACAAUUUGGAGCUAUGCCCUUUGUCUUCUC
ensembl:lncRNA